CUCCGCUUGGUGUAGUUGGUUUAUCACGUCGGGCUGUAAUGUCAAAUUCGCUACCUGAAGGUCCCUAGUUCGAUUCUGGGAGCGGAGA